AUCCCAUGAUGAGGACAGGCGGCGACAUACUCCUGCAACCUUUCCCAUGCUUUCGGGAUCGUCUUGUCUUUCAUUUGCUGGAAACUAGAUAUUCUUCCUCGAAGGGC
rnacentral:snoRNA from 1 species